rnacentral:rRNA from 1 species
GUCCAGACUCCUACGGGAGGCAGCAGUGGGGGAUAUUGCACAAUGGGCGAAAGCCUGAUGCAGCGACGCCGCGUGAGGGAAGACGGCUUUCGGAUUGUAAACCUCUGUCGAGGGGGACGAAGGAAGUGACGGUACCCCUUGAGGAAGCCACGGCUAACUACGUGCCAGCAGCCGCGGUAAUACGUAGGUGGCAAGCGUUGUCCGGAAUUACUGGGUGUAAAGGGAGCGUAGGCGGGAAUGCGAGUUGAAUGUAUAAACGGUCGGCUCAACCGGCCGAAGCGUUCAAAACUGCAGUUCUUGAGUGGAGUAGAGGCAGGCGGAAUUCCUAGUGUAGCGGUGAAAUGCGUAGAUAUUAGGAGGAACACCAGUGGCGAAGGCGGUCUGCUGGACAGCAACUGACGCUGAGGCGCGAAAGCGUGGGGAGCAAACAGGAUUAGAUACCCCAGUACG